rnacentral:tRNA from 1 species
AAGAUUUUAAGUUAUUUAAACUAACAUCCUUCAAAGUUGUAAAAAAAAGUUAAUCUUUUAAAUCUUA